rnacentral:rRNA from 1 species
GACGAACCGUGCGAACGUUAUUCGGAAUCACUGGGCUUAAAGCGCGUGUAGGCGGAUGGGAACGUCGGUAGUUGAAAGCCCCCGGCUCAACCGGGGAAGUGGUGCCGAAACGACCCGUCUGGAGGGACGUAGGGGGACCUGGAACUUCCGGUGGAGCGGUGAAAUGCGUUGAGAUCGGAAGGAACGCCCGUGGCGAAAGCGAGGUCCUGGACGUCUACUGACGCUGAGACGGCGGAAAAGCUGAGGGGAGCAAACGGGG